CCUUAUGAGUGCCACACCAAGAACAUUUUUAAAUACUAGUCUAUAAUUCUGCCACUUAAUAACUUUUCAUUUUGUUGUGCCCCGUCUUUACCAUACAUAUUUCUAAAUCAAUGAAUCAUCCUAGGUUCUGUAAUGGGUAGUAAUUUGUUCAAAAGGGGUUUUGGGCAGACAUUAGCUGCAGGAUGCACCAUGAUUAUAGGUGGGAGAGAUUAGAGAUAAAUGCCUCGUGGAAAGGCAGCUGUAGACUAUAAUAAUCUAGGCUCCCAAGGAUCGUAGAGUUCACAGGGAGAGCGGCCAGGCUGUAGAGAAGAAACAGAUCCCGGAGCACUCUGAAUCUCUGUAGAGGUAUGGUAUUAUUUUAUAUACUGAGACAACCUAAAUUUUCCUUGGAUGGUAAUUAAGAAUGCCAAGUCUAAGUCUAUUGUAAAAUAUUUGAAGAACAAACUGGCUGAGCUGUUCUAUUUACCAGUUAUGUGCUCAUUGAAGACUCUGAGGUAUUGAAAAUGUGUGUUUUUUAAGUAUCUACUUAGUAUUAACACUGAGUUUGUAGCAUGACUUUCAGGUUUAUUGAAAAUGCUUUUUCAAGUUGGAAGGAAUGAAAUAUAGCCUCAGUCUUUCGCUCUGUACACAACCCUCCUAGGCACUCUUGAAAAUGGUCACACCAACUCUGCCUAUACGUUUUUGAUGUGACCAUUUCAGUGUGUUCAUUAUCUGUCAAGGCAAGUUGUCCCACCAUUAGACACUUCUCUCUGUAAAAAAAGGUGUUUCUUAGGUUGCUAAAAUCUGCAUCGUUCCGGCUUCCCCUUGCCUUUAAUUUGGUCACCGAUCUGAGUUCUGUCCUGAGCAAGUGCUCAGAGUAUUUCUGCCCCUUUCUCCUGGCAACCCUGAAGAUAAAAUUGAGACCAGUUACUCAUCCUCUCCCAGCUGCUCUGAUUUCUGUUGUUCACUUCCCUCUACCACCCUUCAUAUGUCAUGAUUUUCAGAUCCAUUUCAACCUGACAGAAUGUUAAGAGGCAGUAUCCUUGAAGCUGAGGAACUGUCUCCAUCAUCAUACAUGUAGAAAAAAUAUCUGAACAUUUAAGUGGAAGUGCCCCCAUACCUGGGAAAUGGCUUCCAAAGAACAAGAGACUCAACCAACACCCCUGUUCCACAGCCACAAAGAACUUGAGCUUUCUGGUGGUGAACUGGACAUGGAAGUUGUUUUUACCAACAGGAGAAGAGGAAGAGUAACAGUUAUAAAGGGAAUUGACAGCAAGUUGGCUCAUCGGUUGCCAGGGAAACCAGCAGAGAUUGAUGAAAAUGCUGGAAUUUUGUAUCACAAGGUACAAAGGAGAUGGCCUGUCUUAGAAGGUUUUGAAGAUAAGAAGUACCAAAGAUCUGUCU
ensembl:lncRNA